UGGCAGCAGUGGGGAAUUUUGGACAAUGGGCGAAAGCCUGAUCCAGCCAUGCCGCGUGAGUGAAGAAGGCCUUCGGGUUGUAAAGCUCUUUCGCAAGGAAAGAAAACUUAUUCGCUAAUACCGGGUGAGGAUGACGGUACCUUGAUAAGAAGCACCGGCUAACUACGUGCCAGCAGCCGCGGUAAUACGUAGGGUGCGAGCGUUAAUCGGAAUUACUGGGCGUAAAGCGAGCGCAGGCGGUUUUGUAAGUCAGAUGUGAAAGCCCCGGGCUCAACCUGGGAACUGCGUUUGAAACUGCAAGGCUAGAGUAUGGGAGAGGGGGGUAGAAUUCCACGUGUAGCAGUGAAAUGCGUAGAGAUGUGGAGGAAUACCAAUGGCGAAGGCAGCCCCCUGGCCUAAUACUGACGCUCAUGCUCGAAAGCGUGGGGAGCAAACAGGAUUAGAUACCCCUGUAGUC
rnacentral:rRNA from 1 species